AGGUUGAGCUCCUGACUUGCGGACCCUGAGGCAGUGUGGCAGGGUGAGAGGACACAGGCUCUGGAGUUCCCGGGACCCAAGCACAGUGGCUGCAACUUCCUUGCGCUGCUGAAAGAUACCAUGUCUUCAGUGCCAGAGGAUCAACAAAGAAAAACAACUUGGCCUCACAUGAUAAUGACCCCAAGUGGUUGGUCAAGAAAAAGAAGUGGCAAUGAAUGAACAGAUUAUACAUUUCUUUGAAGAAUUUGAACUGAGUUAUGAUGUAUAGAUGGGAGAUAAACCCGGAACAAG
rnacentral:lncRNA from 10 species